CACGUAGUUAGCCGGGGCUUCUUAGUCAGGUACCGUCAUUUUCUUUCCUGCUGAUAGAGCUUUACAUACCGAAAUACUUCUUCACUCACGCGGCGUCGCUGCGUCAGGGUUUCCCCCAUUGUGCAAUAUUCCCCACUGCUGCCUCCCGUAGGAGUUUGGGCCGUGUCUCAGUCCCAAUGUGGCCGUUCACCCUCUCAGGCCGGCUACUGAUCGUCGCCUUGGUGGCCUCUACCCCGCCAACAAGCUAAUCAGACGCGGGUCCAUCGUAUACCACCGGAGUUUUUCACACCAGACCAUGCGAUCCUGUGCGCUUAUGCGGUUUUAGCACCUAUUUCUAAGUGUUAUCCCCCUGUAUACGGCAGGUUACCCACGCGUUACUCACCCGUCCGCCACUAACAGAUAAAUCACUAGGUUCAUUACCUGUCCGUCGACUUGCAUGUGUUAAGCACGCCGCCAGCGUUCAUCCUGAGCCAGGAUACAAACUCU
rnacentral:rRNA from 1 species